GAAGAAUAAGAAGGAAAGACAAAAACCCCAGAAAAUGAAACAGAUAAUGGUUUACCUGAGUUAAUGUCCUGCCAUGGGCAUACAAGAAGAUCAACGGUGCAAGUUUUCUCAUACUCUAGUCUGUAUCUCCUCUGUGGGAUCUUGAAAUAGAGUGUCUGACAUAUUCCUUCACUUGACUAUGUAGCAGAGACAGUGGGUAAUGCUUGAGAGAAACUGAGAAAGAGCAACAAACAAAGGAAAUUGAACAAUCCCGAAGCGGAGUUGGUCCGCCAAAUAAAAGGAUACGAAAGGAAUUACAAAAGAUAACUACAGAAGAAAUCCAUAUAUGUGCAGAACAAAUUACAAAAACCUAAAGGCAAAACGAAAAAAAUGGGAGAAUAAUGUCUAGCUAUAAAAUCAUAUACGGUGAGAUGGAAAAGUAGUCCUUUAAAAUUGCAGAAAGAUAAGAACAAAAGAAGUUAUCGGAGACCGUUCAGUUUCAGUCGUGGAAUAAGCUUAGCGCAAAGCCAUAAAUCAUUUUAAUGGCAAAGAGAACAGCACAUGCAGCUAUGUAAUUGUUUGUUGCCAAAAUAAUUGAAUCUUAGUUCAGUCGGAGAACUCGUAGAGGAAAGAAGAAAGCCAGA
rnacentral:lncRNA from 1 species